rnacentral:rRNA from 1 species
AUUGAACGCUGGCGGCAUGCCUUACACAUGCAAGUCGAACGGCAGCACGGGUGCUUGCACCUGGUGGCGAGUGGCGAACGGGUGAGUAAUACAUCGGAACGUACCUUAUCGUGGGGGAUAACGCAGCGAAAGUUGCGCUAAUACCGCAUACGCCCUGAGGGGGAAAGCGGGGGACCGUAAGGCCUCGCGCGAUUAGAGCGGCCGAUGUCUGAUUAGCUUGUCGGUGAGGUAAAAGCUCACCAAGGCGAUGAUCAGUAGCUGGUCUGAGAGGACGAUCAGCCACACUGGGACUGAGACACGGCCCAGACUCCUACGGGAGGCAGCAGUGGGGAAUUUUGGACAAUGGGGGCAACCCUGAUCCAGCAAUGCCGCGUGAGUGAAGAAGGCCUUCGGGUUGUAAAGCUCUCUUGUCAGGGAAGAAACAGCAGCUCUAACACAGUCUGCGAAUGACGGUACCUGAAGAAUAAGCACCGGCUAACUACGUGCCAGCCGCCGCUGUAA